rnacentral:antisense_RNA from 1 species
UUGACUACGAUUUCUGGAAAUGCGAUUCUCUUAGCUGCGAGACUACAGAGAAGGUCUUCCGGAACGCCGUUUCGGGGGCCUUUUUCUUUUGCG